rnacentral:rRNA from 1 species
AUGAUCGAUACCUUGUUUACGCCAGUUGGAGAUGACGAUCAUGUCCUCAUUAAGGAUUCAGUAGUUGACUUCCUCAAAAACAACAAUGGUCAGAAGCCGGAACAAAUUAUCAUUUUCAGGGAUGGUGUUAGCGAGAGCCAAUUCAAUCAGGUGCUGAACGAUGAGCUAGCUCAAAUCAUGGAGACAUGCAAGUUUUUUGGUGGCAAGCACUUUAGUGGCAACUGGUUCCCCAAGUUCACAGUGAUGGUUGCACAGAAGAAUCAUCACACGAGAUUUUUCCUACGGAAUGGACAGAGACCUGAUCAAGUGACUAAUGCCCCCCCUGGGGACUACAAGGCCAACACACUACCAUGUGCUCCAAGAUGA